rnacentral:rRNA from 1 species
AGUGGACGCUGGCGGUAGGCCUAACACAUGCAAGUCGAACGGCAGCACAGUAAGAGCUUGCUCUUACGGGUGGCGAGUGGCGGACGGGUGAGGAAUACAUCGGAAUCUACUUUUUCGUGGGGGAUAACGUAGGGAAACUUACGCUAAUACCGCAUACGACCUACGGGUGAAAGCAGGGGAUCUUCGGACCUUGCGCGAUUGAAUGAGCCGAUGUCGGAUUAGCUAGUUGGCGGGGUAAAGGCCCACCAAGGCGACGAUCCGUAGCUGGUCUGAGAGGAUGAUCAGCCACACUGGAACUAAGACACGGUCCAGACUCCUACGGGAGGCAGCAGUGGGGAAUAUUGGACAAUGGGCGCAAGCCUGAUCCAGCCAUACCGCGUGGGUGAAGAAGGCCUUCGGGUUGUAAAGCCCUUUUGUUGGGAAAGAAAAGCAGCAGGUUAAUACCCCGCUGUUCUGACGGUACCCAAAGAAUAAGCACCGGCUAACUUCGUG